rnacentral:rRNA from 1 species
GAUAAACGCUUGCGGUGUGCUUUAUGCAUGCAAGUCGCACGAUUAGAGCAAUCUUAUAGUGGCAAACGGGUGAGUAACACGUAAGUAACCUGCCCUGAAGUGGGGAAUAAUCCUUCGAAAGAAGGACUAAUACCGCAUGUGGUCCUUGGCCGCAAGGUUAAGGACUAAAGCCGUAAGGCGCUACAGGAGGGGCUUGCGUCCGAUUAGCUAGUUGGUAGGGUAACGGCCUACCAAGGCAGUGAUCGGUAGCUGGUCUGAGAGGAUGACCAGCCACACUGGGACUGAGACACGGCCCAGACUCCUGCGGGAGGCAGCAGCAAGGAAUAUUGCGCAAUGGGCGAAAGCCUGACGCAGCGACACCGCGUGGGGGAUGAAGGACUUCGGUUUGUAAACCCCUUUUCUCAGGGAAGAAUAAUGACGGUACCUGAGGAAUAAGUCACUGCCAACUACGUGCCAGCAGCCGCAGUAAAAC